rnacentral:lncRNA from 1 species
UCUCACUAUGUUUCCCAGGCUGGUCUCAAGCUCUCGGGCUCAAGCCAUUCUCCCACCUUAGGCUCCCAUGUAGCUGGCACUACAGAAAUGAGACCCUUGUCAUUCUUAGAGUCCUUUGUUGAAUGGAAGAAGAAAUGGAAUAAUGCCGUAUCCACCUGAUGGGGACAUCACCUCCUACCUGGAUGGUCAGAGGACUCCUAUCCAUCCCACUGUUCCUUCUGGUUUGGGGCCCAGAGUCUUCCACCAAAGCCUGAACAUGCUUCUACUCCCAGGGCCUCCACAUUCCACGGAUGGCUGAUGGAGAAGAAUCCCAGGUCAUCUGUGGACACCUCUCCUUCUGUAUCCCCAGAACAUGAUGUGCACAGGUGCAUAAAGGAAAUUUAAAUUUUGAUGGUGUCGAAGCUCUCCUGCAGUCGGGCCUGC